rnacentral:rRNA from 1 species
GCACCGAAGCUGCGGCAGCGAACGUAUCACCCAAGACAACUUUACGGAGUUGACGAUUGACGGAGCGAAGCGACGUCAAAGCGUUCAUUAAAGUCGAGUUGGCUUAGGGAUACGUUCGUUGGGUAGGGGAGCGUUCUGUAAGCCUGUGAAGGUGUGUCGUGAGGCAUGCUGGAGGUAUCAGAAGUGCGAAUGCUGACAUAAGUAACGAUAAAGCGGGUGAAAAGCCCGCUCGCCGGAAGACCAAGGGUUCCUGUCCAACGUUAAUCGGGGCAGGGUGAGUCGACCCCUAAGGCGAGGCCGAAAGGCGUAGUCGAUGGGAAACGGGUUAAUAUUCCCGUACUUGGUGUUACUGCGAAGGGGGGACGGAGAAGGCUAUGUUGGCCGGGCGACGGUUGUCCCGGUUUAAGCGUGUAGGUGUGUGUUCCAGGUAAAUCCGGUUCACUUUAACACUGAGGCGUGACGACGAGGCACUACGGUGCUGA